rnacentral:rRNA from 1 species
UACGGAGGGGGCAAGCGUUGCUCGGAAUUACUGGGCGUAAAGCGCGCGUAGGCGGCGCAUAUAGUCAGGCGUGAAAGCCCCGGGCUUAACCUGGGAAUUGCGUUUGAUACUGAUGUGCUAGAAUCCGAGAGAGGGCAGUGGAAUUCCCAGUGUAGAGGUGAAAUUCGUAGAUAUUGGGAAGAACACCAGAGGCGAAGGCGGCUGCCUGGCUCGGUAUUGACGCUGAGGUGCGAAAGCGUGGGGAGCAAAC